UUGAAAGUCAGAGGGAUUUUACUAGUGCAAAAUUUGAAAGUUUGAGGGGUUUUAUGUUACAUUUUAAAUUUAAAGGAUUGUAGUGUUAUAACUAUAUAAAUUCAUGGACAGUUAUUGAAAUUUAUCCAAUAUUUUGGUUAACAUAUAGAAACUGAACAUGUUGAUUUGUAAUGCUAGUUGUGGCUUCAAAUACAUUGCAUUUUGUUAGUUUAUUUAUCAAAAUGUUAUGAAGUUGUCUUUCCUUAAAUUUUUGUAUUCCUUAUAUUUGUGAUCAAUUUGUAGAAUCGGUCACAAUGCAGCAAAAUUUGUUACUUUUGUAGCAGCAAAAAUUAAACUGCAAAACACUCCUAUAUAAAUAAACACAAAAUAAGGACUAAGAAACAAUUUAAAGGAACUAAGAUUCAUAUAAACUAGCUAAGAUUAAUUUUCAUUUCACAAAAUUAGCAUAGAUAUAUAAACCAGCUGUUGUUUCCCUUUAA
rnacentral:misc_RNA from 1 species